rnacentral:rRNA from 1 species
UACGGAGGGUGCUAGCGUUGUUCGGAAUUACUGGGCGUAAAGCGCGCGUAGGCGGACCUGCAAGUCGGGGGUGAAAGCCCGAGGCUCAACCUCGGAACUGCCUUCGAUACUGCGGGUCUCGAGUCCGGGAGAGGUGAGUUGAAUUCCUAGUGUAGAGGUGAAAUUCGUAGAUAUUAGGAAGAACACCAGUGGCGAAGGCGGCUCACUGGCCCGGUACUGACGCUGAGGUGCUAAAGCGUGGGGAGCAAACAGG